rnacentral:rRNA from 1 species
UACGGAGGGUGCGAGCGUUGUCCGGAAUCACUGGGCGUAAAGGGCGCGUAGGCGGGCUCGCCAGUCAGGGGUGAAAGCCUCCAGCUCAACUGGAGAAGUGCCUUUGAUACUGCGAGCCUCGAGGGAGGUAGGGGCGUGCGGAACUUCCGGUGGAGCGGUGAAAUGCGUAGAUAUCGGAAGGAACACCGGUGGCGAAAGCGGCGCGCUGGACCUCUUCUGACGCUGAGGCGCGAAAGCCAGGGGAGCAAACGGG